AGCCAGUGAUGACAUUUAAAAAAAAUACUUUCUGACACCUCGUAUGACGGCUGCAAGGCAGCCUCUGAUUACCUCUUCUCUCUGAGGCUC